rnacentral:misc_RNA from 1 species
GGAAUAUACCGUGACGACAUCAGAAAAUUUAUUAAGGGGGACAGUGGCAUGAAGGGAAGCUUUGCAACUCGAGUAGCUGGGUCUUCUGAUCUUUACAAAGUGAAUAAGCGUAGGCCUUAUCAUGGUAUUAAUUUUGUUAUUGCACAUGAUGGAUUUACACUUCGUGAUCUAGUUUCUUACAAUGUCAAGCACAAUAAUGCCAAUGGAGAAGGUGGAAAUGAUGGAAGCAAUGAUAACUUCAGCUGGAAUUGUGGUUUUGAAGGAGAAACAGAAGAUACAAGCAUUAAUGCUUUACGCGCAAGGCAAAUGAAAAAUUUCCAUUUGGCUUUAAUGACAUCUCAGGGAACACCAAUGAUGUUAAUGGGGGAUGAGUACGGGCAUACUCGUUAUGGAAAUAACAAUAGCUAUGGACAUGAUAAUGCUCUUAACCAUUUCCUUUGGCAACAGUUAGAGGCACGGAAGAGGGAUCACUUCAGAUUUUUCUCCGAAGUGAUAAUGUUUCGGAGGAAGCAUCCCCAUUUAUUCAGCCGGGAAAAUUUUCUAAGCAAGAAUGAUAUAACUUGGCAUGAAAGCAAUUGGGACAAUCCUGAAAGUAAAUUUCUUGCCUACACGCUUCAUGAUGAUAAUGGAGAAGACAUUUACUUGGCAUUCAAUGCUCAUGAUUAUUUUGUCAAUGUU